GACAUUGCCACCCGUUGGGCCCCUUAUUUGUGAUAGAGUGUCAAGAAUAUUUUAUUAUUAAAAAUCAAGUCCUAAUUUUAUAAAACUAACUAUUUUUUUUCAGAAUUUCUUGUACCCUAGCAUUGAAAAACAUAAUUAAUAUUUAUUUUAUUGAAUCUAAGCUAGUUCCGCCAUUAAAACUUAACGUGAAUGUUGCCAGGUAGACGACAGACUAUCUCAUUUAAAUGAACGAGGUGAUCGAUUGAAAAUAUCGAUAUAAUAUAUAGCAUUUUUCUCUUAUAUCAAAAUGUACAAGUAUAUAUAUUAAGUAUGCACUCGUAAAUAGUAAACAAGAAAAGAAGAAAGAAAAACUGUUUAUAACUGUUGCACAAACAAUAAAAUAUCAACACUAACAAAAGUCACCACUGAACUAUAUCUAUAAAACGGUUACACCUAACACCAUACAUGGAAUACAACAAUAACACAAUAAUUAGUAAAUGAUAUUAUUUAUAACAAAUCGAUUUAGAAAAUCGAUUAACAAAAUAUUUAACAUGGUAACAUCUACUCGGAACGCGAGUCUAUCUGUCAAAUCAAUACGUCAUUCAAAUUGUUUUCGUGCCGGUUGUUAUGCGUAGAGUUGAAUUUAUUCCUCCGUAUUUGCUUCUGAUAGUUACAAUUUGCGUAAAAACUGUCGAGCUAAUCGUUUUCGUGCCUCCAGUGGUUUUUUUUUAGAUAUUGGACUCUUUUCUUAAUGAUAAGUGAGCACAUUGACUCGUGAGCAUUGGACUCUUGUUUUUAGUGAUAUUGUUGUUUUACUCCGGAAAAAUGUCUGCACCUGGUAGAAGUCGAGUAAACUACUCUUUGUCUCGCCAGUGUGUUAAUUUCUCUUUACGUAUAGGGCCUAAUCUUCGUAGACGUUAAAUUGAAGAAAUAGAUGAACCAAUGCUUAUCCUUCUAAACACCUACAUUGAUAUCUUCUGAUGAUAUCCUGUGUGUGAAAUGUUUUGUAUUAUUACAAAACCAGACAGCAUCUAACUCAAAUCUGUCACUUGUAUCCCCUGCUCGUGGACACCUAAACAUAUGCUACGCAUGUGGCUUGUCAACAGCAAGUCGCAGAACUCAUAGAGUCAGUCAAGAUAGUUCCUCAAAGGAAUGUUAUACUAAGAUGGACACCAGUACAUCACGUGUUGCAUUUGGAACGAGUUUGUGUUCCUUGUUGGGCGGCUGCAUCAAGACAAGUCUGGAGGCAACCCGUUGCUGGCAGUAGCCAACACACUGUGGAGUCUGCACCGGAGACUGGUAUCAUGGAUGGAAACAUAAUUACAGAUAUGAUGAUUCCUGUACCACCACCACUGCCGCCGCUUUAAUGAUAUAAGCGCUCCAGCACAAUUUCUAGACAACAUAUUCCUUGAAGAAUAAAUGUCUAUUAUUUUAAUUGGUUGUGUUUUUUCUUAUUAAACAUCUGUAUAGCA
rnacentral:lncRNA from 1 species